rnacentral:rRNA from 1 species
UACGGGGGGUGCGAGCGUUGUCCGGAAUCACUGGGCGUAAAGGGCGCGUAGGUGGUUUGAUAAGGGUGUGGUGAAAGCCCGGGGCUCAACCCCGGGUCUGCCGUGCCGACUGUCAAACUCGAGGGCUGUAGGGCAGUCGGAACAGACGGUGGAGCGGUGAAAUGCGUAGAUAUCGUCUGGAACGCCAAAGGUGAAACAGAACUGCUGGGAGUGUGCUGACGCUGACGACAGAAAGCCACGGGA